rnacentral:lncRNA from 1 species
GAAUUUCUUAUUUAACUAAAAGGCCUGACUGUCUGACAACUGCUGUGAUAUAAAUUUCAUUAAAUUAAUGCCAACAGCCUGAAAGAAUAAGAAUCUAAAGUACUGCCUUAAAGGAAGUUGGCUAUUCUUAGGUUGAGUUACAGAUGUGCCUUUGGUAGAGUCUUGCUGCAGCCUUUGAGUUAUUUUAAAUGUAACUCUUCUUCUAACCCCCAAAAAUGUGUUUUCACUUAUCCUUCAAAGUUAACUUUAGAAUGUU